GGCGGUAGGCUUAACACAUGCAAGUCGUGCGAGAAAGUACCUUCGGGUGCGAGUAGAGCGGCGGACGGGUGAGUAACGCGUAGGAAUCUACCUAGUAGAAGGGGAUAGCCCGGGGAAACUCGGAUUAAUACCGUAUACCUCCUUAGGGAGAAAGAGGGCUUAGCUUUGAUGCUCUCGCUAUUAGAUGAGCCUGCGUAAGAUUAGCUUGUUGGUGAGGUAAUGGCUCACCAAGGCGACGAUCUUUAGCUGGUCUGAGAGGACGAUCAGCCACAUUGGGACUGAGACACGGCCCAGACUCCUACGGGAGGCAGCAGUGGGGAAUAUUGGACAAUGGGCGCAAGCCUGAUCCAGCCAUACCGCGUGUGUGAAGAAGGCUUUCGGGUUGUAAAGCACUUUAAGUAAGGAGAAAAAGAUUGUAGUUAAUACCUGCAAUCCGUGAUGUUACUUACAGAAUAAGGACCGGCUAAUUCCGUGCCAGCAGCCGCGGUAAUACGGAAGGUCCAAGCGUUAAUCGGAAUUACUGGGCGUAAAGCGCGCGUAGGUGGUUUUUUAAGUUGGAUGUGAAAGCCCUGGGCUCAACCUAGGAACUGCAUCCAAAACUAGAUAACUAGAGUACGAAAGAGGGAAGUAGAAUUCACAGUGUAGCGGUGGAAUGCGUAGAUAUUGUGAAGAAUACCAAUGGCGAAGGCAGCUUCCUGGUUCUGUACUGACACUGAGGUGCGAAAGCGUGGGUAGCGAACAGGAUUAGAUACCCUGGUAGUCCACGCCGUAAACGAUGACAACUAGCUGUUGGGAGACAAGAUCUCUCAGUGGCGCAGCUAACGCUUUAAGUUGUCCGCC
rnacentral:rRNA from 1 species